GAUGAACGCUGGCGGCGUGCCUAAUACAUGCAAGUCGAGCGAACGGACGAGAAGCUUGCUUCUCUGAUGUUAGCGGCGGACGGGUGAGUAACACGUGGAUAACCUACUUAUAAGACUGGGAUAACUUCGGGAAACCGGAGCUAAUACCGGAUAAUAUUUUGAACCGCAUGGUUCAAAAGUGAAAGACGGUCUUGCUGUCACUUAUAGAUGGAUCCGCGCUGCAUUAGCUAGUUGGUAAGGUAACGGCUUACCAAGGCAACGAUGCAUAGCCGACCUGAGAGGGUGAUCGGCCACACUGGAACUGAGACACGGUCCAGACUCCUACGGGAGGCAGCAGUAGGAAAUCUUCCGCAAUGGGCGAAAGCCUGACGGAGCAACGCCGCGUGAGUGAUGAAGGUCUUCGGAUCGUAAAACUCUGUUAUUAGGGAAGAACAUAUGUGUAAGUAACUGUGCACAUCUUGACGGUACCUAAUCAGAAAGCCACGGCUAACUACGUGCCAGCAGCCGCGGUAAUACGUAGGUGGCAAGCGUUAUCCGGAAUUAUUGGGCGUAAAGCGCGCGUAGGCGGUUUUUUAAGUCUGAUGUGAAAGCCCACGGCUCAACCGUGGAGGGUCAUUGGAAACUGGAAAACUUGAGUGCAGAAGAGGAAAGUGGAAUUCCAUGUGUAGCGGUGAAAUGCGCAGAGAUAUGGAGGAACACCAGUGGCGAAGGCGACUUUCUGGUCUGUAACUGACGCUGAUGUGCGAAAGCGUGGGGAUCAAACAGGAUUAGAUACCCUGGUAGACCACGCCGUAAACGAUGAGUGCUAAGUGUUAGGGGGUUUCCGCCCCUUAGUGCUGCAGCUAACGCAUUAAGCACUCCGCCUGGGGAGUACGACCGCAAGGUUGAAACUCAAAGGAAUUGACGGGGACCCGCACAAGCGGUGGAGCAUGUGGUUUAAUUCGAAGCAACGCGAAGAACCUUACCAAAUCUUGACAUCCUUUGACAACUCUAGAGAUAGAGCCUUCCCCUUCGGGGGGGCAAAGUGACAGGUGGUGCAUGGUUGUCGUCAGCUCGUGUCGUGAGAUGUUGGGUUAAGUCCCGCAACGAGCGCAACCCUUAAGCUUAGUUGCCAUCAUUAAGUUGGGCACUCUAAGUUGACUGCCGGUGACAAACCGGAGGAAGGUGGGGAUGACGUCAAAUCAUCAUGCCCCUUAUGAUUUGGGCUACGCACGUGCUACAAUGGACAAUACAAAGGGCAGCGAAACCGCGAGGUCAAGCAAAUCCCAUAAAGUUGUUCUCAGUUCGGAUUGUAGUCUGCAACUCGACUACAUGAAGCUGGAAUCGCUAGUAAUCGUAGAUCAGCAUGCUACGGUGAAUACGUUCCCGGGUCU
rnacentral:rRNA from 1 species